GGAACAAGUCAUAUUAGGCCUGGGGUAGUCUCUCCUCUUCCAGAGAGCACAUCUGGGCACUUGCACAAGGUGAAUUUCGACAACUUAUUGUAAUUUAGUAUGACCUGACAAAUAAUGGAUAUGAAGGACCUGUUUGGUACAGGAAUUGGUCACAGUCAACACAGCUUCUUGAGAGGAGAGUCCUGCUUGCCAAGCCUGAUUUCCUUUUAUGACAAGAUCAGAGAGGCUGCAGUUAGCAGUUUUGACCUGCCUUGGGACGAAUUCUACAGGUGCCUGCCCACAGUUGAGGCAUCGUGCUAACAGCAGCAGAACAUCCCUGGCUCCAGUCUGGGUCACUAUCUAGAGUGCUCAGCCAAGAAGAGAAAACACCAAGUGGCUCCAGCUCAGCUCCUUCACCUGGCCCUGGCUGCUCUGCUGUCCAUGUCUGUGGGGAGGAGGUUGACUCCAGACAAGCUGUUGGACGGUCAUCUGCUGCUGGAACUGCUCUGUGUGGCUCCUGCCUUCCCAAAAGGGAUCUGACACUAUCUCUUCCCUUUUUCUUACAGGCCUGAGGCUGUCCCUGCCCAGUGCUAACUUGGGGAGGGUAUUUCUGACAUUUCAGGUCUCUCUUUGUUCCUGUGGGGUUGGGGCGUGAGUUUUUAGUAGUUUGGUAUCUAGGAGUAAUUUUUUUUCUCUUGCCUGUCUUUCUGUUAGUAAACAUUCUUUUUCAGUUAUAUCUACUCAUAUCCAGUCCUUUUUGGUGGAAAGGGAUUGGUUGAAUGUAUAGAGGGAGGCAACUCAUUCCAGAGUGUUCUUCUUCAAAUUGUACUUAUCUCAAAUCAAGACAACAUCACAAAAAAAAAAGAAAAAAAAAUUUCAAAAUUGAUUUAACAAGCUAACAACAUUACCCGUUGUUAGACUUAUGCCUAUGAAGUAGUGCUAUGUGAGAGAGUAUUACAUGCUCCUACUAAAGAAUAUAUUUCUGUAGGCCUCUUAGCAGAGUCUUCACAACAUUUCCUAAAUGAGACAUCUUAUUGCUGUAUCACAAUGGACUUCCAAAGAAUUCUGUCUAUUGCAAGGUUUCAGCCUUCAAUGCCUCUCGUGCAGAAGCAUUAGUUGCUUAAAUAGAAUGUUGUAAGCAUUUCUUAAAAUGUUUAUUUACUCUAACUGCCUUUUUUCGACAACAGAUUUAGUUUUGUAUUUCAAAUCAAGCUGGAUAAUACUGUAUCUGACAAUGCUACUAAGUGAAAUGACCAAAUGUACCAUAAACCAAGUAUGUGAAAGGGUAUAAUGUUUCAGAAUCAGAACCAAGAGAUUAACAUUUUUAUGCUAAGCUUUGUAAAAUUUCACCUGCAAGCAGACACUAGGCCUGCACUAUUAGGCACGAAUGCUUAAUUUCAUAGGAGUUAGAUGUAGUUUUAAUAGUUCUUCAAAAUUAAACAUGCAGAUAAAUUUAGGUAUAAUUUCUUACUCUAUCUGCAUCAAUGGCCAGCAAAAAUUAGUGUUUCUUUUACAUUAGAGAGCCUUUUAUUUUGUUGAUUUUUUAAAGUCCUCGUUCUUCAUGAAGAAAAGCUACAGGGUACAAUAACUAUACAUCCUUGACAUGGCAUGGAGCUGGAUAUGAUUUCUGUAGGGAACGUCAGUAUGUUCAACAGGCUCUCUAAUUGUAUUUAUUUUAUUUUUUAUAUAAGGAGAACGCCAGUUUUAUUCCCACUCUUAAGUUUUUCAGGGAAGCAAUUAAUAGAUUUUUAUUUUGAUACAUUUUUUAAAAGCAAAAAGAAAAUAGAAACCGUUGUAGCCAAUCACUGUAUGUUUUCUAUCACUCUAGGACUGAGAAACCCAUUUUUCAGGCAGAACAGGGCUUUAAAGUUAUAUUUUGGAGUUGUAAGGAAGAACUCUAGGUCUUUCCUCUUCAGCCUUCUGGGACUUCUCUGGCUUACCCUUGGUCCCAUUCUGAUGCUGAAUGAAAUAAAGUGAAAAUGUUUUAAUUUCUGUUGAUUGGUACAUGUCCAUUUCAAAACUCUGACUUUGUUCACUGAAGCUGGUGCUUCACAUGUUUUCUUUGAGGAAAAAUCAUUGAUGUAUUAAGAAUAGUCUGGUGAGAACAAUGACUCCCAUUAAUGAGUGGCAUAUGCAUAUUUGUUCCUGUUGGUUUUGAUGUUACUAUAUUCAAAGGAUUUUAACCUUUAAAAUUCAGUGAGGUGCUAGAGUGGUUGCAGAUAUUUCCAUGAUAGGCCUUGAGAGUGAUUUGAUCACAGAAGAUCAAUGAGGGUAAAUGCCUUAACUGUUGCCUUGUUAUAUUUGUGCCAUUAGAAAAUCAAACCUGAAAUACCUAAAAAGCAGGUAACCAGAACAGUGCAUAUCUUGUGCUUUUCAGCCUGGUACUCUGUGCAUGCUUUACAGCUAUAAUCUGGAUAUGCCAAUGAAUUUUCCUCUGUGUUGGUUUUGCAAUGUCAGAGUGUUUUAAUCUUCAAGUCUGGAGUUUUGAAAGAUGGCCAGGAAGAAAAAAAGCAGGAACAAAGAGAAGGAGAAACUACUGAGUUUGUAUUAUCAAGUCCUUUCUAUUGCUUCCCUGGCCUCUGCUUUGUGUCACUUUCAGCUGCUGAGCAUUUCUUAAACAAAGAGCAUUUUACACUACCACUAUGUUCUUUUUUCUUCAAAAGUGAAACUGCCAAACCACACUUUGACAAAAGAGAAUUUCCCUUAUCAGAAUACAGCAAGUCAGUGUAAGUAGGUAGUGUGAGAAGCACCUCAUCUACAAGAUGCUGUUAAACACAAAAUUAACAGUUUGACCCUCCAUUACUCUGUAAAUAUAUAUUCUUCCCUGUAUGAACUGAGCUUUAUUGUUCACAGAUAAUGAAGUCCUUGAAAAUACUUUGACUUUUCUAGCUGUUUAUUUUAUGAUAAUUUCAUAAAGCAAGAAUGGUCAUUAUACAGUCUCACACAAUUUAAUUUUAUGACAAGUAGUGGACUCAAAUUUACAGAGAUAUAGAUCAAAUAAUUCAAACAGUAUAAAUUUGAAUGCUUCCUAUAAUCACAAAAAUAUUUAGUAGAAUAAAUACUUGGCUAUGCUUUGCAUAUCUGUGCCUGCAGCUUGUAACUAGUACUUGGCCCUCAAUCCCUUCACACACUAUGCACUCCAAAUCUGUGCAUCUCUUGAUUGUGUGGCUGUGUGCUGUGUUUACACCAUAGUAUAUCUGCAAUGAUAAUACCAUCGUUUGUUGUAAACAUUAGAAGAUCAUAUAAUAUAACACUCUUUCUGUGUAGUUAUGAUAAUUGUUUUUUGGUGUCAUAUGUUUCAUCAUUUUAUGAUUUUGAGUUUUGGCAUAAUAUGCUCGUAUAAUCUCCAUGCCUUGCAUUUUUUCAAGAUAAGUUCUUUUUUGUUCAAGUGCUAAUGGCACUUUGGACCUAAUCCAGAACUGUUGUUUCACGAGUUUGUGGUCACAUUUUGGAAGUGCAGGAAUAACAAUAACAUCUUUGUUCUACCACAACUGCCAGUUUCACUAGGUUCUAGUAGAAAAAAGUGUCUAUUAUUCCUCCUUUUGCUUGGUUUUGUUAGUCAUAGCUCUUCAGUCUUUGUUUCGACUUUUUUUUUCACUCCCUGUUCAUCUCUUCCUUCCAGCCUAAUUAUUGCCACAUUUCUGGGAACUGAGAGGAUUCAGUUAUUCUAGUAAUCUAGGACUUGAAAAACAACACAGUUAGAACCCAUUUGCAUGAUGACUAAUUUCCACUCUUUGUUUUAAGAGCUAAAAAAUCCUUUCUACUUAUACUUGUACAGAAAGGAAGAGCUCUUCCUUCUUAAUGAGAACUUACAGGAAAUGUAUCCUGAAUAUGUUACCCUGAUGAUACUAGAAAAGGAGGAUAGAAGGACCGACUUAGCUUGAAUAUGAGCACACUGCGGAACUAACAAAUUAUGAAUCACCUUCAUCAUGCAUGCAGUGUGAACUGUGACUGAAAUAUCUCACAGUUAAGGGGGGAUAAUUCUAAGAUAGAGAUCAAUCAAACAAACGCCAUCAAGAAUCAAAUUUGUUUGGACAGCAAGCAGAUAGGGUUGACAGGUGCUGUGAUGCUGGUAGUGAUUCUUUUUCUUGAGUGAACAAGAGAAGAGAAAACUGCACAACUAACUGUUGUUGAAGUGCAGCUGCUUAUUGACUAAAUAAUCAGUUUCACUAUUUUCACUUGUUAGCUAUAUUUGAAUAUAUUGUGAAACAAUAUAACAGGUUAAAUUCAGUUCUGAGAUUAUAUUCUAAACACCAGGUUUCAUCUUCCAUUAGUUGAAAUGCAUGAAUACUUUUAGCAUUUUGUAACAGUAUCUCAUGGCUUUCAUCUCACUCUUUCACUAGUAGAAAUUGAGAUAUAUUGUGUACAUACACCCUUCUAGAUGUAGGUACAAAUGUAGGAUUGAUAAUUUGUUAAUUAGAAAUUAUUUUCAUGAAAAUUCAAAGAAAUUAGAUGUUUGGGGAACAUAUCAACUCUGAUAAAGGCUUUUUUUUUGGUGUGGGAGGAGUAGGCUGGUGGGUGCGGGAAAGAAUUCUCAUUUGCAGACAGGAAUAUCUAAUCCAGGAUCAGCUCUCCCUUUUUAUGACUUUGCACUCACUAUCAUGAGACAAAUCAGACUUGAUUAAACAUGCACAGUGAUUAAACAUACACUUAUUUGUGUCUGUAUAGCAUGAAGUGUUACACAGUCAUGUGUAAAACACUUCAGAACUAUGUUGCAUAAAAUGGAAAAGUACACAAAUGUGUAUGGAAAGUUAUGUUUCAACCAUUUUGGUUGAAAUUUAUUAACAUUGCCUCACACUGAAAUGUCAGUUUAAGUGCAAAUGUAUAUUUUUUUUCUUUUCUGGUCAUAUUCUAUCUCCAUACAACAAUAUGUCUUUUACUUUGUAUAAGUUACAUAUCUACAGUACUUAAAAUGUUACAUGAAGAACUUGUUUUGUGGGGUAUUUUCCAUGCAGAGUAGGAGGAUAGAAGAGUUUCAGCUGGAUAAAUCUGUAGAAAUGAAGUGUGCUUUCUCUAACUCCGAGAUGAACCAUCUGAUGUGAGCACAUCCCUUUUUGUAACUCAUAGCAACUAAAUUUAUCUUAGAAUUUUGGGUUGCAUUUUUGUAGUAGUUUUGGUUCACCGAUUUCAGAUUUCCUGGCCAAUUUUCUCAUUGAAGAGUAUACUAAUUCAUCUUUCCUGUCUUCUGCAGACUUUAUAGUAUAAAAAAUUUUGACAUAGACUUAGUUUUGCUGAAUGAAGUCUCAGAAAUUGAGCCUUUCAGUCAUGUUUCAUCUCCUAAUAAAUAAAAAAGUGUCUGCUAUGGGUCACUCAUCUAUAUCAAGCAACAGCAACCACCUGACAACUAUAGAGCAUAUGUCCUACCAAGUACUCUUCCAGCCACUGAGUAUUUUCACUCCUUGAGAUUUCUUGAUCCUGUUUUAGUUUGGUAGCUCUCACUGCAAUUUCCUCUGUAAGUACUUGUCUGAUCUCUUCUGCAACCCAUGAAAAAUCCCAAAAUCACAGUAUUCAGUGGCAACACAUCCCAAAAGUCUACUGCCUGUUGCAUGAAGAAAAACUCAAUUGUUAUUUGUUUUGCUGUUUUUGCCUGAUUUUAACCCACAUAUGUCAGUACCUCUUUUGAAGACCGGGAGAAGGAGAACACCUAGAGACAACCAUUUUAGCCAGUCUUGUGCAGCUGGGUCUUUGAUGGGCUGACAACUCCUGGGAUGGUAUUAAUUGGGUACCCCCAGCUGUUACUGCCUUUUGCCACAUAGCCUUAUAUCAUCUGUCCAGGUCCACUGCACUUGCCAGAAACCAGAAUAAAAUUAAUAGAUUGUAUUUCCCCUUUCAGAAAGGUUUUUAAGCAACUACAGGUUGCUUAAAACAAUAUGUUGUUUGAUAUAUUUUCAUGUAUGCUUCUUUGUGCUUACAUGUAAAGUCCACCUUGGAAAGUUUACCUUUUUAAUUUGUUAGUGAAACAAAAAAAAAAAAUCCUAAUGUUUAAGUUCAUCAGAUUUGACGACUUUGUAUUUCUCAAUCUUGCUAUUAAACAUCAGAGUGGGGAAAUGUCAGAAUUUUUGUAAUUUUGGCAGCUGAGUAAUAUUUUGCAUUUUCUCUGCCUCUGCUGGGCAUCAUGUCAAAAUCAGAGAAUACAAUUUGGCAACUGUGUUUGGUUGUUACAGGAAAUUUAUAGGAAAAGAAACAGUUAAUUGAGAGAGGAAAAUUUUGCAAGAUGUAAGUGUAUAAAGAGGCCCCUCCUUUGGUGAUGAAAAAUUUUUUAAACUCUAAAAUUGUGUUGUACCUAUACACAAGCAACAUUCUUUUCAACAUUUGCAACUUAAAAUACCUUCUUUAAUAUUCAGUGCAAGGUUCACUUUAUACAAUAAAACCAGAAGUACAGCAGGAUAGUAUAAACAAUGCUUACCACUAUUUUGGAUUAUGUGGGACUUUUUUCCUGUCUACAUUUAGAAAAAUAAUUAUCAUCUAUGGAA